rnacentral:lncRNA from 1 species
AUUUGUUUGAAGAGCAUGUGAAGGGUCUGACUAGAUGAUGAAUGCCAAUAUUAAAUCUGCUGGAGUUACCUGUACAAGAUGAAGAGAGACAACGUCCAAAAUUAGUUGAGAUGAUUUCCUUAAAUGUGGCUUAAGAAGUAUGGACACAUAAAGCUCUACCUUGAAAAUGAGAAUAGAUUUUAUCUUACUUAGAGAUAAAGAAUGGGCUGUGGAACAGAUUCAGUUUGCAUUUGGUUUGUUAAAUUUAUAAGGCCAUAAAACAAUUAGGUAAAACAGAAAGCUUCUAUGAUUCUAUUUGUAUGUACAUUAGCAGAAACUUCCAGGAGUUCCUGUAAAUUCUCAAAGUGUUGUUUCAGCAGUACUAAUUUAAUGCUGACAUACGAUAGAUUAAAAUUUUAUGUUAAGCUAUCAACUGUUCUCUUGGGAACUGAACUUUUCCUCUGGGGCUUUGGGCUGACAUUGCAUUUGACUUUUUAUAUAGUGCCAGGGCAAAGAUGGAUUAAUCUACCCCAAAUUCAAGCAUAAUGAAUGCAUUUUGCUUACAUACUAUUCCUAUUCAAAAAGAACACUAGAUUCAUUUAAACAGAUAACAAAGAAUAGAAGUACAUUGCUGUCAAUGAAUUUCAAAAUAUUUUUUAUUUCUGCAUACAUUGAAUAACUUUUACAGUUUAAAAAAAUGAUCUGUUUUGAAGGUAAAAUUGACAAAUUUUGAAAUGAAAAAGGCUAAUAUGUGAAGGAGCCAAACUAAAUCAAAUAUUUGUGAAGUCAAUACUGGAAGCUUGCUUACAUUGAAUUUAGAAAAACUUUUAUACUCUUUUCUGUAAAUACUUCUUUUUAAACUGAAUCAGAGUA